AAAUAAGAAGCAAAAUAUUGCAUUUAGUUUCGACCUAAAAAUUUGAUUAUCAAAAUCCUUAUUUU
rnacentral:tRNA from 1 species